GAUGAACGCUGGCGGCGUGCCUAAUACAUGCAAGUCGAGCGAACAGACGAGGAGCUUGCUCCUCUGACGUUAGCGGCGGACGGGUGAGUAACACGUGGAUAACCUACCUAUAAGACUGGGAUAACUUCGGGAAACCGGCGCUAAUCCCGGAUAAUAUAUUGAUCCGCAUGGUUCAAUAGUGAAAGACGGUUUUGCUGUCACUUAUAGAUGGAUCCGCGCCGCAUUAGCUAGUUGGUAAGGUAAAGGCUUACCAAGGCAACGAUGGGUAGCCGACCUGAGAGGGGGAUCGGCCACACUGGAGCUGGGACACGGUCCAUACGCCUACGGGAGGCAGCAGUAGGGAAUCUUCCGCAAUGGGCGAAAGCCUGACGGAGCAACGCCGCGUGAGUUAUGAAGGUCUUCGGAUCGGAAAACUCUGUUAUUAGGGAAGAACAAAUGUGUAAGUAACUAUGCACGUCGUGACGGUACCUAAUCAGAAAGCCACGGCUAACUACGUG
rnacentral:rRNA from 1 species